rnacentral:rRNA from 2 species
CCGACAGGCGUAGUCGAUGGACAACGGGUUGAUAUUCCCGUACCCGUGUCAGAUCGCCCCUGAUGAAUCAGUUGUACUAACCGUCCUGAAGCACCUUGAUCACCUUCGGGUGACGGUGGUGUGGAUGCACGGGACCUCGGCUGGUAGUAGUCAAGCGAUGGGGUGACGCAGGAAGGUAGUGGGGCCAGUCAGUGGUUGUACUGGUGUAAGCCUGUAGGGCGAGAUCUAGGCAAAUCCGGAUCUCAUGAUGCCUGAGAGGUGAUGCGUAGCCGUUGCGGCGAAUUCCAUGAUCCUAUGCUGCCGAGAAAAGCCUCUAGCGAGAUCUGAUGUGGCCCGUACCCCAAACCGACUCUGG